rnacentral:rRNA from 1 species
GACGAACGCUGGCGGCGUGCCUAAUACAUGCAAGUAGAACGCUGAAGGAGGAGCUUGCUCUUCUGGAUGAGUUGCGAACGGGUGAGUAACGCGUAGGUAACCUGCCUGGUAGCGGGGGAUAACUAUUGGAAACGAUAGCUAAUACCGCAUAACAUUGACUAUUGCAUGGUAGUCAAUUGAAAGGUGCAAAUGCACCACUACCAGAUGGACCUGCGUUGUAUUAGCUAGUUGGUGGGGUAACGGCUCACCAAGGCGACGAUACAUAGCCGACCUGAGAGGGUGAUCGGCCACACUGGGACUGAGACACGGCCCAGACUCCUACGGGAGGCAGCAGUAGGGAAUCUUCGGCAAUGGACGGAAGUCUGACCGAGCAACGCCGCGUGAGUGAAGAAGGUUUUCGGAUCGUAAAGCUCUGUUGUAAGAGAAGAACGAGUGUGAGAGUGGAAAGUUCACACUGUGACGGUAUCUUACCAGAAAGGGACGGCUAACUACGUGCCAGCAGCCGCGGUAAUACGUAGGUCCCGAGCGUUGUCCGGAUUUAUUGGGCGUAAAGCGAGCGCAGGCGGUUAGAUAAGUCUGAAGUUAAAGGCUGUGGCUUAACCAUAGCACGCUUUGGAAACUGUUUAACUUGAGUGCAGAAGGGGAGAGUGGAAUUCCAUGUGUAGCGGUGAAAUGCGUAGAUAUAUGGAGGAACACCGGUGGCGAAAGCGGCUCUCUGGUCUGUAACUGACGCUGAGGCUCGAAAGCGUGGGGAGCAAACAGG